AUGGCUGUGAUUGCCCACCAUAGCAAGCGCAGGCUGUCUGAGCAGGCCAUCCUUGGAUGCCCAAAUGGCUCGGCAUCAGGACUCAGCCCACCCUUGGGUGAAGGGCACCCGUCUCCCUUUGCCGAUCACUGUCCCCAUGAAGAAGAGCUGGGUCUCUUUCCUGGGUGCUGGCUGAGAGAGGUGGGUCCCAGUGCCCGGCUGUGCCGCCUGCGCACUGCUCCGGCACCAGGCGCCCCUCCUCAGCGGCUGUGCCAGGGUCGCCAUGGCAACGGCAUAAUGGAUUUGCCCUUAUUCAGUCCCAGAGGCCGCAUCGAAGCGCGACGCAAAAUUUGCCGGAGCCUGAAUUCCUUUCAAGUCAUGGCUCGCGUGUCAGGAAGCAAGUUGAUGCGCAGGCAGCGCAGAGGAACACCAGACCGAGGUGUCAGCAAGGUUGUGGGAAGCUGAAAAUGGGUAUCUUCUCUAGGAAGCAUUGAACAACCUCAGCCACAGACCUCACUACCAGUUCUACCUGUGCUUGGUCUUUCAGAGUAUCAACUGGUGUAGAUAUUUUUUUAGUGUUUUGUUGUUGUUGUCUGUUUGUUUUGUGCUGUUUGGUUUGUUUGUUGUUGUUGUUUUCUUCUGGAAACUUUGAAAACUGGCUGUUGUUUGCAAGAUCCCAUAUCUGUAGAGCAAGCCAGCAAGUUGCUUCAUUGGUAGAUUUAUGUUUGGAUCUUCAACGACUUUCAGAUAGAGCAAGUAGUGUAUAUUACAGUGAUGCCCAGAACAAAAACAUACCCACGCUUCCAGUGUUAUUUCCCCCUCCAAAGUUGUGUAGUGAUUUUAUCAAACUCUCUGAAAACAGUAAACUGCAACAAUUGCAGAGGGUGCAUUCAGAUAGAUCGGUAUUUUACAGGAGUGUAUCCACCAUGCUCUUUUUCCUUUCCCCCCCCCCCUCCCUUUUACCCUGCGCAGUCUCAAAUUUAACAAAUUACGAUGUUGCUGUUUCAUUUGGCACUGGUAGAAGGAGGAAGAGGGUGCACUUGGCUGAGAUGAGACACCCCAUAGCUGCAGAAAAUAGGUGCAAAAUAGAUGUAAAAAUAGAUGUAAAAAUAUGGAAGAAAAAAAAAGUUGUUUCCUCAUGCAAACAUAGUAGGCACUCAUAUUUUAAAACAAGUUCAGUUCCAGAGUUGGGAAGAAAAUUUUUAUUACAUAAAAUUGCCACAGGUUUUGCAAACAACUAGAAAACUUCACAACUAGCUAUCUUGCAUCUAAUACAUUUUAAAUUAAAAAUCCAAUGUGAAAAUGUGCCCUGAAAUUAAUGACCAUUGUAUGCCUGGCAGUUUAUCUUACCAUUUGUAAUGCAAUAAAGGAGGAUCAGAUAAACA
rnacentral:lncRNA from 1 species